UACGGAGGGUGCGAGCGUUGUCCGGAAUCAUUGGGCGUAAAGGGCGCGUAGGUGGCUUCUUAAGCGUGCGGUGAAAGCCUGGGGCUCAACCCCGGGUCGGCCGUGCGAACUGGGGGGCUGGAGCACUGUAGAGGCAGGCGGAAUUCCGGGUGUAGCGGUGGAAUGCGUAGAGAUCCGGAAGAACACCGGUGGCGAAGGCAGUGGGCUGGGCCGGCACUGACGCUGAGGAGCGAAAGCGUGGGGAGCAAACAGG
rnacentral:rRNA from 1 species